GACGAACGCUGGCGGCGUGCUUAACACAUGCAAGUCGAACGGAACGGCCCUUCGGGGUACUCGAGUGGUGAACGGGGGGGUAAAACGUGGCUGUUCUGCCCUGCUCUCUGGGAUAAGGCUGGGCUACUGGGGCUAAUACCGAAUAGGACCACGCGCUACAUGGUGUGUGGUGGAAAGCUUUUGCGGAGUGGGAUGGGAGCGGGGCCUAUUAGCUUGGUGGUGGGGUAAUGGUCUACCAAGGCGACGACCGGUCGCCCGGCUGGGAGGGUGACAGGCCACACUAGGCUGGAGAUACGGCCCAGACUCCUACGGGAGGCAACGGUGGGGAAGAGUGCACAAGGGGCGGGAGCCUGAUGCAGCGACGCCGCGUCGGGGAUGACGGCCUUCGGGUUGUAAACCACUGUCAUUUGGGACGAGGCGCUAGUGACGGUACCUAUAGAAGAAGCUCCGGCCAACUACGUG
rnacentral:rRNA from 1 species